AACGCUAGCUACAGGCUUAACACAUGCAAGUCGAGGGGCAUCAGGGUAGCAAUACCGCUGGCGACCGGCGCACGGGUGAGUAACACGUAUCCAACCUACCGUUAACUCGGGGAUAGCCUUUCGAAAGAAAGAUUAAUACCCGAUAGUAUAUUUUCUUCGCAUGUUGAAAAUAUUAAAGAAUUUCGGUUAUCGAUGGGGAUGCGUUCCAUUAGGCAGUUGGCGGGGUAACGGCCCACCAAACCUACGAUGGAUAGGGGUUCUGAGAGGAAGGUCCCCCACAUUGGAACUGAGACACGGUCCAGACUCCUACGGGAGGCAGCAGUGAGGAAUAUUGGUCAAUGGACGAAGGUCUGAACCAGCCAAGUAGCGUGAAGGAUGACUGCCCUAUGGGUUGUAAACUUCUUUUAUAUGGGAAUAAAGUUCUCCACGUGUGGAGUUUUGUAUGUACCAUUAUGAAUAAGCAUCGGCUAACUCCGUGCCAGCAGCCGCGGUAAUACGGAGGAUGCGAGCGUUAUCCGGAUUUAUUGGGUUUAAAGGGAGCGUAGGUGGACUGGUAAGUCAGUUGUGAAAGUUUGCGGCUCAACCGUAAAAUUGCAGUUGAUACUGUCAGUCUUGAGUACAGUAGAGGUGGGCGGAAUUCGUGGUGUAGCGGUGAAAUGCUUAGAUAUCACGAAGAACUCCGAUUG
rnacentral:rRNA from 1 species